UCUGGUGACCACAGCGAGGUGGCCCCACCCGUUCCCAUCCCGAACACGGAAGUGAAACACCUCAGCGUCGAUGAUAGUAUGGCGACAGGCCAUGUGAAAGUAGAUCGUUGCCAG
rnacentral:rRNA from 1 species